CACGGGGGGAGCAAGCGUUGUUCGGAAUCACUGGGCGUAAAGGGCGUCUAGGCGGUCAGGUAAGUGAGAUGUGAAAUGCCCCGGCUCACCCGGGGACCGGCAUCUCAUACUGCUUGGCUUGAGUACGGGAGAGGAUGUGGGAAUUCCUGGUGUAGCGGUGAAAUGCGUAGAUAUCAGGAGGAACACCGGUGGCGAAGGCGCACAUCUGGCCCGAUACUGACGCUAAAGCGCGAAAGCUAGGGGAGCGAACGGG
rnacentral:rRNA from 1 species